rnacentral:precursor_RNA from 1 species
CGAGUUCGUAGCGGGACCGUACCGAGUUCGUAGCGAUACCGUACCGAGUUCGUAGCGGGAUCGUAGCGAGUUCGUA